AGCCCGAUAGUGUAGCGGCCAAUCAUACAAGGUUCUGGCCCUUGUGACCCAGGUUCGAAUCCUGGUCGGGCUA
rnacentral:tRNA from 1 species